CACAAUUCGUUGGUGGCGCCAAAAACUUAAUUUUCAAUAUUCAACUCUGGUCUAUAACCUGGGAUGACAAUGACUUUAUCAGAUGUUCUUCCGUUGGUUUUUCUUGUCCUGCUGCUCCCUAUGCAAGCUAUGACGUGUGUGACGGAUUAUUCCUCACCAGACGGCUGCGCGGAUGUUGGCGGGGAGUGUAAGGCUUCGGCGGGGGAGUGUUACAUGGUACCCACAAUGUAUUAUGGAGACCAAUGCUGCUGCUCCACGGACGAGUCCUGUAGAUGGGUUCAACCCGACUCCAGUCUUGUAAAGAAAAGGGAUGACGAACUGUAGAUACGCAUGUUAUUAUUUAGAGUGCAUUUAUCAAAAUGAUAAAUCAAAGUGAUGUACCCAUUGUGUGUUUAAAAUGAAAUUUCUAUAUUAAAACUAUCA